GCCUUGUGCACUACUGUUUCGCAUUUCCUCUAUGGAAAGCUAACAGCUGAAGGAUUUGGUCAAACCAAGCAACCAGAGGACCAGAGAAAGUUUGAAAGAGGAUGGCAUAACCAAUCAAGAAAAAAAAGUUACAGCAAAAAAAGUUCUCUUCAUUUUAUUCUUACCUUCUGCUUUGUGAAGAUCUCUGCAGCUACCAGAUAACCUGAACUAUACAGCAUCUCUGCUGUUAAGUGUAUAAUAUUUAAGACCUAUAGUUCCUGUUGUCAUUUUCAGUUGAAAAGUAACCAAAGCAAAGCUGUUUUACUAUCCCACUAGCCUGGUUUUGAAGGAAGCAGGCACUUUAUCAUGCAGUUUUGAAUAUUGGGUUGUGGUGAGAAAAACAAAUACCAGCAUACAGUUGAAAUAAAGGAACAGGCUUUUAUAUCAAUAAAAGCAGAAGGAUGAGUUCCUGCUAAUCAUGUUUACUGCUUGUGUACUAAUUAUUUGUAUAAAUGAAUUUUGUGGAAGGCAUCGGGAAUAUUGGAAAUUCAGACUCAGAUUUCCAACCUUCUUUUUCUUUCCCAUCACUUGCAGCAUAAUUCAUAUGGCUGUUACAUUUAAUUGCUUGGGGGUGGCAAUUCAGACACACUCAGGGCAAUAAGAAAAAGCCCUAUCAGUACAUCUUAUCAGAAGUGUUACUUUGGUAGAACAAUGCACAUUGCUGAUGCUUUCCUCCGGUUUACUUACCUAAUGAUUUUCUUGUUUGCCUAAUUACUGUUGUUAUGACAGAAAUUUUGUGGUUUAUAAAGGAGUCAGAAAACCUAAGGUGUGAUUUGAUGUCUGGUUACUGCACAGCAAACUCUUAAAAGAGUUUAACUUCAUUUUUAGCUCAAAAACCCUUUUAUGUCAGAGAAAGGUGUUUUUACUUUUGAUAUGGGAUAUGACUGCUGUUGGGUGGAAUAUGCUCUGGAGAUACCACAGCGGAAAAGAUCUUAGUACAUAAAAUGGGUGCAAAUUUCUGAAUGCAGUCAUAUUCACUCCCUUUAAAUCUGAAGUGAAUAACCAAGACUGAUUUUUCUGCUAGGAAUUAGACAUAAACAACUCGGAUGUGAGUAGUCAUUUGAUGUAAUUGUCAUCUGAUUACUGGGUUUCAACGGUUUUUUGUCAUUUUCUCCCAGUGGUUCAAAAUGAAGAUACUUCAUUUUUUAUUUUGCAUUUUUUAUUAAACAAAACCAGUUUGUUAAUUAUCGCUACACUUAGAAAAAACAAACUUCUGAAAAUGCCAGCAUUAAGAUUUCCUUUGCCUACCUUUACUGACCUAUAUGCAGAUACUCAUAGACUUUUCUUUAUUUAUUUUUUUCACAGCCCAACUUUUAUUAGUGUCAGUUGAAACUGGGAAUAUCCCAUCUUUUUGCAAAUCAAAACUUGGCUGUCAGAAGAUACACAGCCAACAACAGGGAAUGUCUUUCCUCUCAAAAGUCUAGUUUAAGUGACUUGCUUUGAAUCAUAAGAUUUAAUUUUUAGCUCCCAUCAUUCCCUAGUUGGCCAGUUACCCAAUCAUAAAGUUAUCUGAGGCCUGUUGAGAGGAUGAUGUGAAGACAAUGGAUGCUGACCUUCCUCUUGGGAUAGCAUCUGCACCAAGACCUGACAGAAGAGAACAGCUCUGGAGGGCCAGACCCCUGGACCGCACCAAGGGAGACAUUGAACAGCACCAGGACCCCAACCUCCCACAGACAAGGACUGCCAGAGCCCCUCCAAGGGCAACACUUCUUACUUCUUCCUCCAUCAAUUCCAUUCCUUCAGGACAGCACCUGCCACACACCUUCAGGGCUGAAAAUAAGCCUCACAUCCAAGGACCCAGGCCUGCCACACACCAUCACCCCCAAACACAAGGGGCUUUUGUCCCCUGGCACCCACUCCAUAAACUCCAUCGCAGGAGUAGCACACACAGCUCAGGGACCAAAGGACACUCACCUCGCUCCACAGAGGCACCAGAGUCGCUUUAGCCCUGAAGCCACAGGAAGCAUUCCAGGAACUGAUUCCAAGGGGCUGCCAGGGUGGGCAGCCCUCGGGUUGGAGGAUGGUCACUCCUGGGCCCCCAUCACUCACCUCCUUCAUCCCACUGAAGAUGUAAUCCUUGCUGCAGCCCUCACCCUGCAACAAGACGAGAAUUACCAAGCAGUGGGGAUUGGAGAGGCCCCUCUAGACAUCAUCCCUUCCCACUCUCUAGCUAAAGCAGCUUGUUUCAGAUUUUUACAUCUCAUUUAAAGUUGUCAGUGCUGCAAGAGUUCUACUCCUUUCUAAAACAUUUUUUUAAUCCUGAGAAGUGUUAGGCUGAUAGCAAGAAAAGUUCAUGCCUUCUCUGCAUAAGCAGCUGUCUGGCAUAUGAAUAGACUAUUUAUAUAGGUAUGUCACGUACAUUCCAUCAUACCUAUAUAUGACAUUGGCUAUCGGUUAUUAUAAGAGUAGAAACAAAUAUGUUUACUCUCUUUAUUUGGGGUGUACUGGAAUGUACAUUCUACUGUUUGUUACACUGGAAUAGGCUUUGCCGGCUUCUCUGCUUCCGUGCUUUCCUGGAAUCUCUUGUUCAGCUGCAUUGACUGUUCAGCUUUUCAGAAAAUGGAAUGCUUUGGGUUAGGAUUUGAGUUCAAGGAACUGAGCCUUUACACAGGCUUGAAAUAAGAAAUAACCAUAACCUGGUGAAAGACGUGUUUUGUUAAAAUCUCACUAAAGAUUUUAGAAACUGUGUAGGAAGAAGAAGAGAGUAGGUGCUGGUUGAGGCUAGGAAAAGAGUAGAUGCAGCCACGUUUGUUUCUCAUCUUAGGGGCAGCAGGGCUAGCCCCUCACACCUCCAUAAACACAAGUGGAAUCUUCAGAGUUACUGUUUUCCUUUUAGUUUAAUGGUGGCCAUAACAGCCAUAUGCCAUCACCAGAUCAUGCUGCACUUGAGAAAUGGUGAGUCUUUGUGGAGAAGGAUUGGUACGCACUAAAAAGCAUCAGACUCCACUUUAUCCAGCAAUAGCUUCUUGCAGUCACAAUGGAGAAAACAAAAUUAAGGUAUAAUAGAAUAAUGCUUUUUUAAAGUUGAGUCUCAUAUUCAAAAUUGAUCUUGAAUGAUAUAAAGGAUUCUUGAUCACACCCCAACAACCUACAUUAUUAAAAAGCAAAACCUUUUAAGUUGAAAAUAUUUUCUAAAUGUCAUCUUUAGCAAAGGUGACUGAAAGAACCAGGCUUUUUCGUCACUUGGAAAUAACAGAUGAAGUGUAUACUGUCUCCUAAAAUAAGAUUUUAAUAACAUACUGGUAACAGGAAAAAAAUUGGUACAUUGAUCAUGGAGUUCCCAGGAUGUCUAAGUGUUCUGGGAUCUCUGCUGCCCGCUGCUGUACUUGUUCCCUUAAAGUGUAUCUGACUAUUAAAAAGAAAUAACGAAACAAAACAAAAACAACAUACAAAAAACAUCAAAACCAAAACACCAGGGUUUGCUAUAUAAGUAAUGACAGAUAUAACACCUCUGUUUAUUUUUAAACAGCUACUAAUUUAAAUAAUUUACUGCAUUUUUAUCCAUCAGAUGAUCUUUUUACCAUGAAGUAUAUGACCAGCACUGUCAUUCAUUGAAGUUCAGAGAAUUCAGAAGUAAUGACUGAUAUUCAAACGCUGUGUAGUUAUUGUAGAAAGGUUGUAUUAGUCUGAAGCUCCCUAGUCGUGUAAUUUUCUUGUUAAGCAUUAAUGACCCAUUGAGAUAGCUUAUGAUGAUGCCUCCAUUUCAUGAAAUGCUUGUUCUCAUGUGAAUAUAUUUGUUUAGCUGAUUGUUGUGAUUAUUCAUUGAUUCCACAAUUACUUUUUUUUUAUGUUUAUUCAGUGCUAGAUGUAUUUUGACAUGAUCAAACGUAUGAGAAAAUUAUUGCUUGACUGUAUGCGUGUAAAUGUACCAAAGCUGUGUGACCUUCAUCCUAGCACUAAAUGUUGUGAAGCUUUCAGUGUUGAUACAUUUUACAAAUGAUUCCAUCCAAAUUAGAUAGCCGUUAGGUACUUAUCAGCAAAGAGAAAGGAAAGAAGAGUUGUUUUCCUGCGUGAUCUCAGUGAUACAACCCAGUUUUCCUGAGUGAUAAAGUCAGGAAAUUUUUUUUAAUAGAGCAUUGGCUUUCCUAAGCCCUCACAUAACAUUGAAAGUAUAUUUAUAUUGCCAAUAGAUGGCAGCAUCGCUCUUCAGCAGAGUUCUGUAAGCUAUUUAAUGAUUAAUGUUGAUGUAAAUUACUUCAGCAGAAAAUUGUUGUCUCAGUAAAUGUUGUUCUGCUACAUUUUUUCCAAGUUCUUUACCUAUUUUUGCUAUAAAAUAGUGGUAUAUAAUAGUGUAUAGAGUGGCUACACUCUACACUCUACAAUAGGUUGUAGUGUAGCACAUCUUUGCUUGGAAAAGACCUGCUUCUCAAAAAAAGUGUUCUACCUUCUGGCAUAGUUCUCUAUGCAUUAAUUUCCAUCAUACAUAUAAUCUCUGUUUUCUGUCUGAGCCUGGAUUUAGUUUUCUUAGUGUUUUCAGUUUCAGAAGGGGCAUGUUCCCCAUCUCCUACUAUCUGAAUUAUAUUGAUACGCAGAGUAGAGCCUAGUAGAUGAUUAGUCCUGACCUCACCAGUCCUAGGCUCUCCUUUUUUUGUUGUCAUCCUAAUUAUUCAUUUGCAAUACCUAUGUUGUUGGUUGGGCUGGGUUUUUUGUUUGUUUGUUGUUUGUUUUUUAUAUUUGUUUUAAUUACUGUUAAUUGAGGUAUUUGAGUACUUUUGUAUGACUGGCUAUUAUAGGUGAAAACAUAUUGCCUGCUUGUAAGCUUACUGUGAAGGCUGAUACAUGGAGUGGAAAACAUGAUAGAUAAUCUUCUCUGUCAGCCUUAGAGCAUCUGUAUUUGUCAGCCUUUCCAUUCAGGAAGGAGAGGCCUGCAUACUCUGUCACUUUCCUGUUGCCUUUGAUCAGAAAUUUAUCUUGACUCCUGACAGCAAGGAAAUCUUUCUUGUUGCAAGUUUUGUUGAAAGCAGUGUUGAAAGCAGAAAUGGUCAACUUGAUUGACUUCUUGAGGUUCAGCAGAUUACAGGUUUUGUUCCUUUGUUAAUAUUAUUUAUUAAAAUAUUAAAUUUUCAUAUUAAGGUAUUCAUAUGUAUUCUGGAGUAACUGUGGGAAGCUCUAGAGCCAGUGUCCAUAUCGUGUUUUAUACUUCUGCUGUAGAAGACUCAUAAUUUAUCCAUUAAUAUAAUUGAUAUUUCUGAAAGAAUUAAACCAGUAGGAAGGUGAACUUUUCAAAUUUCACUUGCCAUUAUGGUAUCGGUGUAUCGGUGUAUUUGUCUAUCAGUUUAUAUGGUCAUCUGUUGUUUCUUUUCUUCCAUCCUAAGGGGCAAGCGUGCAGUAUCAUUUUAGCGAGUAGGAUUUUGUUGUUUUGAUUGCAUGAUUGUUUCAGUUUGAUAAGUAUGUGCUAGAGACAACAUCAAUAAGAUGUGUCUUGCAUUUGGAGCAGAGAGUGAUGAUGUUUCUGAUCACGUCCUCUUGGUGAUUGUUUGAGGAUGUUAAAAGUUAGUGGAAAAUAUUGUUCCUUGUAGUUUCUCAGAAAUGAGUGAGCUAUCAGUGAAAAUGCAGUUUGCUGUACACAAAAUUUCUAAAAUGGAUAUUAAAUAUCUUUGAAAAAUGAACUGAUGAUCCCCCUUUUUAAUCCUGUCAUAUAUCAUUUGUCAUGGCAAUACCCACAGAAAACACAGUUGCUCCUUUUACAUCAAAUAAAGAACCAUGAAGAACUCAGAAUUGUUAUUUUAAAAUAAAUAAAUAAAUAAAUAAUUUUGUGGAUUGUGUUACUUUUGGAGUACUAAGAAUCCAGUUUAAUCUUAUUUUUUUUCCAUCCUUAGCUA
rnacentral:lncRNA from 1 species